rnacentral:rRNA from 1 species
UACGUAGGGGGCGAGCGUUGUCCGGAAUUAUUGGGCGUAAAGAGCUCGUAGGCGGUUUGUCGCGUCUGCUGUGAAAACUCGGGGCUUAACUCCGGGCCUGCAGUGGGUACGGGCAGACUAGAGUGCGGUAGGGGAGACUGGAAUUCCUGGUGUAGCGGUGAAAUGCGCAGAUAUCAGGAGGAACACCGGUGGCGAAGGCGGCGACCUGGUCCUUGACUGACGCUGAGGCGCGAAAGCGUGGGGAGCAAACAGG